UAGCCAUAUCACAGUUAAACACUGGUUCCUAUACAAUCACUGAAGUUAAGCAACGUCAAGCUUGCUCAGUAUAUAAAUGGGUGAACUCUUGGGAAUACCAGAUGCUGUAAG